rnacentral:piRNA from 1 species
UGCAUGAGGAUAUGGCUAGCCAAUUUGA